UACGGAGGAUGCGAGCGUUAUCCGGAUUUAUUGGGUUUAAAGGGUGCGUAGGCGGGAUGCCAAGUCAGCGGUCAAAUACGGGGGCUCAACCCCGUCGUGCCGUUGAAACUGAUGUUCUUGAGUGGGCGAGAAGUAUGCGGAAUGCGUGGUGUAGCGGUGAAGUGCAUAGAUAUCACGCAGAACUCCGAUUGCGAAGGCAGCAUACCGGCGCCCUACUGACGCUGAGGCACGAAAGUGCGGGUAUCGAACAGG
rnacentral:rRNA from 1 species